rnacentral:lncRNA from 1 species
UCCGUUGGAAACUCGAUUUUCGAAAAACAAGUAUGGAACAGUCACAAAUGCGGCCUGCCGCUAUGAUAAAUAGAGUAUCAAGGAAGAGGAAAGCAGAAUUACCACCAACACCAGAGUAUUUUUUUGAAUUAAAAGAUACCAUCAUAAGAUAUAAAAAAAACUUCAUGUCUUUUUCGUGGAUGUAUUGAAGCAGAAGAUGGAUCUACGGCAGUAAUACUUUGCAAUGAAGAGCUUUUCGGGCAAAUCGGUGAAGUCGAAGAAAUCCACGUCCAACAAACUUAUGAGUGUGUUCCUGAUAAGCCACUCAUGGAGCAGACAUUAAUUCUGCAUUUAAGGCGAAAUAAUAUUGGUUUACCAAGUAUCUUCGUCUUAUGUGAUUCAACAAUUGAAUCACUGUAUACGGAAAUUUUCAAAGUAAUUAGUUUCCGUAUUCCAGCCAUGAAGAACAAUUUAAAAAAUAUCAUAUGUGAUUACGAUCCCGCAUUAUAUUCUGCAAUUGAAGAAUCUUUUAGUGACGUGACACUCAAAGGAUGCUGGUUUAACUACAUUAGGGUAUGCAUCAUUAAUUUGGAGUUUAGAAAAAAAAAUUACGAAAAUAGACAUGUUAAUAUUGAUAUAAACAUCUGAAUUUUUAA